AUGUCGAGAGGACUAAUAGCUGAAACCACAAUCUCUCCUGUACAAGAUGAAGUCAGUAGAACAGAAGGACAAUCGGUCACACUCAGAUGCAACUAUGAGACAACCAGUGAUUAUGCAAACCUUUACUGGUACAAACAUCAUUCUUACCUUCAGGCUCCUCAGUUUAUACUUUGGAAAGCAGGAAAAGGAUACACAGCUGAAAAUAUUCCUGAUAAACGUAAAUAUGGAUCCCAAACAUCAGACACAUCAACUACAUUGACCAUCAGAGAGCUAACCCUGGCAGACACAGCUCUCUACUACUGUGCUUGGUGA